CCUACGGGGAGCUGCAGUGGGGAAUAUUGGACAAUGGGCGAAAGCCUGAUCCAGCCAUGCCGCGUGUGUGAAGAAGGCCUUCGGGUUGUAAAGCACUUUCAGUGGGGAAGAAAGCCUUGGGGCUAAUACCCUCGAGGAAGGACAUCACCCACAGAAGAAGCACCGGCUAACUCCGUGCCAGCAGCCGCGGUAAUACGGGGGGUGCGAGCGUUAAUCGGAAUUACUGGGCGUAAAGCGCGCGUAGGCGGUCUGAUAAGCCGGUUGUGAAAGCCCCGGGCUCAACCUGGGAACGGCAUCCGGAACUGUCAGGCUAGAGUGCAGGAGAGGAAGGUAGAAUUCCCGGUGUAGCGGUGAAAUGCGUAGAGAUCGGGAGGAAUACCAGUGGCGAAGGCGGCCUUCUGGACUGACACUGACGCUGAGGUGCGAAAGCGUGGGUAGCAAACAGGAUUAGAUACCGGGUAGC
rnacentral:rRNA from 1 species